UUAGUUGGUGGAGUGAUUUGUCUGGUUAAUUCCGUUAACGAACGAGACCUCCGCCUACUAAAUAGUCAGGGGAAUCAUUUUGAUUGCUCGGCGACUUCUUAGAGGGACACCUGGUGUUUAACCAGGGGAAGUUGGAGGCAAUAACAGGU
rnacentral:rRNA from 1 species